UGCUGUGAGCUCGAUGAGUAGGGCGGGACACGUGGUAUCCUGUCUGAAUAUGGGGGGACCAUCCUCCAAGGCUAAAUACUCCUGACUGACCGAUAGUGAACCAGUACCGUGAGGGAAAGGCGAAAAGAACCCCGGCGAGGGGAGUGAAAAAGAACCUGAAACCGUGUACGUACAAGCAGUGGGAGCCCCACCACUAAGCCAGUGGUGAACUCCACAUACGCAUCCUUUGCUGAGGAUACGGUUAACGGAGCGAAAGCGACGUUCAACCUCAAAAGAAGCAGAGGGGGCUUAGUGGUGGGGUGACUGCGUACCUUUUGUAUAAUGGGUCAGCGACUUAUAUUCUGUAGCAAGGUUAACCGAAUAGGGGAGCCGGAGGGAAACCGAGUCUUAAUUGGGCGUUAAGUUGCAGGGUAUAGACCCGAAACCCGGUGAUCUAGCCAUGGGCAGGUUGAAGGUUGGGUAACACUAACUGGAGGACCGAACCGACUAAUGUUGAAAAAUUAGCGGAUGACCUGUGGCUGGGGGUGAAAGGCCAAUCAAACCGGGAGAUAGCUGGUUCUCCCCGAAAGCUAUUUAGGUAGCGCCUCGUGAAUUCAUCUCCGGGGGUAGAGCACUGUUUCGGCUAGGGGGCCAUCCCGGCUUACCAACCCGAUGCAAACUGCGAAUACCGGAGAAUGUUAUCACGGGAGACACACGGCGGGUGCUAACGUCCGUCGUGAAGAGGGAAACAACCCAGACCGCCAGCUAAGGUCCCAAAGUCAUGGUUAAGUGGGAAACGAUGUGGGAAGGCCCAGACAGCCAGGAUGUUGGCUUAGAAGCAGCCAUCAUUUAAAGAAAGCGUAAUAGCUCACUGGUCGAGUCGGCCUGCGCGGAAGAUGUAACGGGGCUAAACCAUG
rnacentral:rRNA from 1 species